UAAAAGGGUUGGUUGGCUAUGUAUGCCACACACAUCUUUUAUUUAAUGGAUGUUGUAUGGUUAUCAAGACAUAUAUCCGACAUAAUUUAUGGAAGAUAUAGGAUUGACUUGCUCGGCUAACCCUUU